rnacentral:tRNA from 1 species
GGCCCCAUAGCUCAGCAGGAUAGAGCGACAGAUUCCUAAUCUGUAGGCCACUGGUUCGAAUCCAGUUGGGGUCACCA